rnacentral:rRNA from 1 species
GACGUAGGGCGCAAGCGUUGUCCGGAUUUAUUGGGUGUAAAGAGCUCGUAGGCGGCCUGUCGCGUCGACCGUGAAAACCCGCAGCUCAACUGCGGGCUUGCGGUCGAUACGGGCAGGCUGGAGUUCGGUAGGGGAGACUGGAAUUCCUGGUGUAGCGGUGAAAUGCGCAGAUAUCAGGAGGAACACCGGUGGCGAAGGCGGGUCUCUGGGCCGAUACUGACGCUGAGGAGCGAAAGCGUGGGGAGCGAACAGG